UGCCUUAUUUUAGGAUGGCUGAUCCUGUCUAUCUUCAAUAUUGUCAAGUUUAUCCAGACGACCACUUAUAUUUGGAAAGUAAAGAGAGAAUUGGCUAGGGUUACAAAACAGAAAGAGACAACACCGACUUGCUUCAAUUUUGACACUCAAACUUAUUUACAGUUCCUGCGAUUGUCUGUCAUGAUGGGCCUAUCCUGGAUCUUUAUUAAUCUUGUAUGGGCUAUAUAUGUGAUUUUUGAUACAAGUUCAGAAUGGAUUCAGAUGUUUGUUCUUGAUCUUAGUUUUUACAUCGGUAUUUUUAUUUUUAUCCUGCUUGUCGCUAGGCGCAGCACCCUUAAACUUCUCAAAGAAAGUUUUCGGGAGAAAUGUGCAGCGUGUCCACGCACAGGGAAUAAAAGUAAUGCCUGUCUAAUUCUAAUAUGUUAGUUGAUUUAAAAAAAAUUAAGUUCUUGUCUUGGUUUUUUAAUCGAUUUACUUUAAAGUCGGUAUUAAAGGUUCUUAAACUUAAAACAUUAAAAUAAUUUUAUCGUGGGCAAUACUAAUUUUGGUGAUGUAAUUACUAAACGUUAAAUACCUAAUAUUGUAA